AGCGAACAGACGAGGAGCUUGCUCCUCUGACGUUAGCGGCGGACGGGUGAGUAACACGUGGAUAACCUACCUAUAAGACUGGGAUAACUUCGGGAAACCGGAGCUAAUACCGGAUAAUAUAUUGAACCGCAUGGUUCAAUAGUGAAAGACGGUUUUGCUGUCACUUAUAGAUGGAUCCGCGCCGCAUUAGCUAGUUGGUAAGGUAACGGCUUACCAAGGCAACGAUGCGUAGCCGACCUGAGAGGGUGAUCGGCCACACUGGAACUGAGACACGGUCCAGACUCCUACGGGAGGCAGCAGUAGGGAAUCUUCCGCAAUGGGCGAAAGCCUGACGGAGCAACGCCGCGUGAGUGAUGAAGGUCUUCGGAUCGUAAAACUCUGUUAUUAGGGAAGAACAAAUGUGUAAGUAACUAUGCACGUCUUGACGGUACCUAAUCAGAAAGCCACGGCUAACUACGUGCCAGCAGCCGCGGUAAUACGUAGGUGGCAAGCGUUAUCCGGAAUUAUUGGGCGUAAAGCGCGCGUAGGCGGUUUUUUAAGUCUGAUGUGAAAGCCCACGGCUCAACCGUGGAGGGUCAUUGGAAACUGGAAAACUUGAGUGCAGAAGAGGAAAGUGGAAUUCCAUGUGUAGCGGUGAAAUGCGCAGAGAUAUGGAGGAACACCAGUGGCGAAGGCGACUUUCUGGUCUGUAACUGACGCUGAUGUGCGAAAGCGUGGGGAUCAAACAGGAUUA
rnacentral:rRNA from 1 species